CUCCUGGAUCGUGGCAAUGGGCAGCCACAGAGCAGAAAGUGGCGGACUUGGGCGGCCACAGGUAACUUUCUCGCAAGGAGCUGAAUUCUUUCACUAAAGGGUACAAGCCCGAGGGACGAGCUGCGCCGUGAUUGGCUGCGGGGCUCCCUCAGGUGAGCUGCCAUUGGCAGAGGCGCGCUCAGAGGUCGGCGGGUGCUGGAGGUGCUUGGGAGAGAAGGAACCAGGAGAAGAGCAACACCUGCAGCCACCGGGGAUUGUGGGUCGAACGGACAAGAAGAGCUGAGCUCAAGUAUUCCAAGCCAUCCGGAAUCAAAUGCACAGCACAACCUCAAGGCUUUUAAUACUCCACAUUAACAGGACUAUUUAAAACAGUUCAGAAGGGUACAGGGCUGAACUUUACUUUGUGCUCAGGGAGGGGGCAAACACAAAGAUCGCCAGGUUUUUUGUGUAAUUGCAUUUUUAAUAUUCUUAUCCACAACAAACACUUUUCAUGUCCCUGUGUGAAAAAGAUACCAGGUAACUUGCAGGUUUUCAUAUACAGUGAGCAUCCUUUCAGCAACUGGACAGAUGGGGAAUGGAGUGCUUUUAAUGGGGUGAGGAAAUUUGGUUGCACAGACACUAAGAUGGCCCAGGCACACCUCUUCCAUCUCAACUCUGCAGCUUGGGAUUCCAGGGUUGCAUACAACCACUGAAUCCCUUCUGUAAACCUGUUUUCAUCUGACGUUUCCAGGCAGGCAUCAACAUUUACAUUGUAAUUCAAUUGAAGCGGUGACUACAAAGGUGCUUUAUUCUCCAGCUUAAUAUGGUUGCUAUAGAAACAAUUCAAGAUACAACUGACUUUUCUGUGGUUCUGUUUCUCCUGGUUGGGGACAACAGGAAUUAGCACAGUUGCAAUUUCUUACCACUUACCACUGCUCCCAAAAAGUGUUUGUGGAAGAUCUGACAGGUUUCUAGUCUAUGUGUGUGAAUUGUGGAAGUAAAGGAGGGCAGGGAAAGUGUAUCAUAUUUUAUUGUAAGUUAAUAUUGCAUUGGCAAUAAUGAUAAAAUUUCUAUUUUAAUCUUUAUUGAUGAGAUAUUUCCUGAAAAUUAUAUUAUGGGACAAGGUUUGGUUGUUCUAUGUUUCAUUCUCAGCAAAUGAAUUUCAAAAAUGUACUCUUUUUAAAGACAAUAUAAGCACACACACUUAUUUAAAAAGAUAAUAUUUUAAGAUAACACAAUACCCACCUGUCCUCUACCUUCUCCUUUCUAGAGGCAACAACAUUCCAUUUUUAGCUGUCUCUCUGUCACAUACCUCUCUAUUUCUAAAUAAUUUAUACUGCUAUCUCUGAUUUACCAAUUUAAUAUUGCCCAUUGACCACAUGUUGCUUAGAUAAGGAUUUAGCUCUUUCAAGCACCAUCCAGUUUCUCCAUUCUUUCAACAUAGGUCUUUCAAAGCUUAGGAGCAGUGAGUAGUCAGUGACUGUGCAAAUACCAGUCACAACAAAGCCAACUAGUGUACUAUGCUUGUUUUUUCUUAUAAAACCUUUUAUCUAUUUACUUAGUUUGUUAGGCAUCCAUCAUAUUUUUUUCUACAACAUAAAUUUUAAAUGACUAUCAAAUUUAUUUCCCAAAUAAUCAGUCAAUUCUAUUUCCCAUCCCUGGAAAAGCCCUCCAAAAGUCCACUGUCGUUUUCUAAAGAAGAUGAGUUUCUCUCCAGACCUGCUGCUCAGGUGUCAUCCUGGGACACUCCUUCCUCUCCAACAGAACAGGGGCCCUGAGGGUCUAACAGUUCCGAAUGCCUGCAUUCACUCAGGGCCCUGCCUAUCACUUCUUCACUUCAAGCACCCUGGGGCCUCUCAACCUUCUGAUGAUCUCGGGCAUCUCCAAGACCAGGAUUUUCCGGGCCUUUAUAGGGUGAUUGGGUUCUUACUGUACUGACCUCUAGAUAAUAUUAGAGUAUAACUUCCACUGUUCUAGUAAACCAGUUUCCAGCCUUCCAUCCACCCCAUCUUGCAUAAUUGUGUUAAAAUACAUCUUUUGACCCCCUCCUUCAUCUUUUUUGCUCCUGUGGAUUUAUCCUUUAUGGUCCUUUACUUUCCCUUUCAGGAGACAGUGAAGGUAUACAAGUGUGAUUCAAUUUGUCAUCUUUAAUUUGAAGCCAUUUCCAAAAUUAUCCAAAAGUUUUAUCAAACUGUCCUAAAUUUGUUUGUGCAAAUAAAACCAGCAUUUAUGGCCAAACCUUUCUUGUUAUUGGUCAGUAAUGGCCAAGAUUCCUUUCUUCCUUUCCAACAGUUAACAGCUUUACUAUGAUUACUUAGUAUUCCCUGAUUGGCUAACUACUACUGUAUUAAUUAGUUAGGUUAGUGAAGGAAAAGGUUCUCAUGGACUAUUUUAAAUUGUGAACCAUGCUAUUACAUCCAUUACCUGAUAGUUUUGAUUGUUUUGGCAGAAAAGUUGUAAAUUAAUGUAAAAGUUACUGCCACAACCAUCAUAAGAAUAUACUACUCUGCCUCCAAAUGUCUGUACCCAUGAACACUAAGUAUAGCAUUGGUUCCACAGUGUGGUCCCUUGCUGGACCAUCAACAUCAGAUCACCUGGGAACUUGUGAGCAAUACAGAUUCACCAACUCAUCCCAGACCUUUUGAAACAUGGGCAGCAGUCUGUUUCUAACAAGCCCUUCAGGUAUUUGUGAUGCAUGUUAGAGUUUGAAACACACCAGUACACUAUCCUGACAUAAGGAAAUAGUACCUCAUUGUCUUAAAUUACCCUAGAUGUGGAAUUUUUGAACACCUUUUAACAACCAUGGGCUAAGUAGUAGGUUUUACCUGUCUGGAUUAGUCCAUUCCCAACCUAGUGAUUGUUUAUAUAAUGGCUGACCAUUGUCCUUAAUUAGAGCAGUUAGUGCAUCAAAAAGUUAGUGUGGAAUCUGUCACAGUAGUCAUCAUAGACUUAGGCAUUUCAGCACAAUUUACAGUUUGAUAGUCAUUUUAGGUAGCAGAAUCAAAGUAAAUUUUCAUGUAAAAAGUUAUACAAGAGUACUGUUUUUAAACUAAAUUAUUUCAUUGAUGAGAUGAAAGUUUCUGUUAAAUUCCCAGGGAAGAAUAGUAUUGUUUAUUUUUAUAACAUUUUAGUAGUGGUCUUUAGCAUCUAUUUUUGAUGGCUAAGUACAUUUUCCUAAAAUAAAAA